UACGUAGGGGGCGAGCGUUGUCCGGAUUUACUGGGCGUAAAGCGCGCGUAGGCGGAAGAUUAAGCGUGGCUUGAAAGCCCCCGGCUCAACCGGGGAAGGUGGCUGCGAACUGGUCUUCUUGAGGGCGAUAGAGGGGGGCGGAAUUCCUGGUGUAGCGGUGAAAUGCGUAGAGAUCGGCAGGAACACCCAGGGGGAAACCAGCCGACUGGGCAUCUACUGACGCUGAGGUGCGAGAGCGUGGGGAGCGAACCGG
rnacentral:rRNA from 1 species